UGUUCAGCAGAGAGAAGUUCAAAUCAUUUUGGGAUUUUCUCUGUAUGCUGCCAAAUCAAAGACCAAGCCAGUGAAAGUCAUAGUUUUGCCAGGCUCAACAAAGUUACUCAAAAUGAUGAUGGAGGUGAAGUUGAUGCACCCAAUGGUUGUCUAUCCAUCUUUUUGCAUCCCGGACUUUCGAGUGGGGAGAUGAAUGGUCGUUAUUUGUCCGAUAAGGAGUGAGAUGCAGCAAGAAUAUAUGUUUUGUUGAAUUGUGAGGAAAUUCAACAAUUCAUCCCAAUCUUUGAAGCUGCGUUGAAAAGAAAUUCAUAAAAUAUCAGUCUUGAAGAAAUUGACAAAGAGACGAAUAGUAGAUUUGCCAACUGGUUCGAAGCUUAUGUUCUCAAUCCAGCUGACAACAUAAGUGUUGAGCGGUUAAGAGACUUUGCUUCUGGUCCUUACAAGUGGGUGCAAACUUGGCCUCAAUAUUUUACAAAUGGCUAUAGGUUUCACACACUUAGUCAUAGCUCUAACAAACAAACAAUGAACAGUGGUGUGUGCAUAAAAGGGACAACUUGGAAUGAAUAUGAAAGUGAUUAUUAUGGAUUGCUUGGUGAGGUGAUACAACUUGAAUAUUCCAAUCCAACAAAGAAAAGAACCACUCUUGUCUUGUUCAAAUGUGAUUGGUUUGAUCCAACAAUAGGUCGAGGGUGUAAGGUUGAUAAUCAGUAUGGGCUGAUUGAUAUCAAUCAUGAAAGAAGGUUCUUGAGCUAUGCUUAUGAACCUUUUGUAUUGGCUGAACAAGCACAACAAGUCUAUUUUGCAGAAUAUCCCAGUAAAAUGAAAGAUAGUGUUGACUGGUGAGCAGUGUGUAAAAUAAAAGCUAGAAAUCAAAUUGAUUCUCCAAAUACUCCAUACCAAGAAGAUGACAAUUUACCCCCUAUAAUCCCAAAUAUCACUGAUGAUCUUAAUAGCUUACGUCACGAAAAUGGUGAAUUGGAAAUACAUGAAGUUGAAAAUGAGACUGAUGAAAUUGACCGAUAGCAUGAUAUUAAUGCUAUUGGAAGUGAUGAAGAGUCAGAGGAUUCUGAUUUUGAACUCUCUGAAGAUGAAGGAGAUGAACAAAGUGAUGAAAACUUUGAAACCGAUGAGAGUGAAUGAUAAUGAUUUUUACUGUAAUUUCUUUUCUGGAGUGUUUUCUUUUAUUACUAUUGCUACCUUUUUCUGUUGCUUGAUGUCAUUUCUGAAAACCUAAGUAUUUUUUUCGAAGUUAAAUCAUCAAUCUGUUAAAAUGGUUAUA